AUCCACGAGGCAGGGUGAAGAGUUGGUGCACCCCAGGAGGUGUGCAGGGACAGCGUUCCAGGAGCAGGACAGUGGGUGCAGAGAUGAUGUGCAGGUUCUGUGCAGAGCCCUCAGAGCAGUUCAGCCCCUGGAAGCAGAAGAUGCCAAGAGUGGAAUGAUGGAAACUAAGAGACUGAAAUGAGACCACGGCUACUGUCAUCCCCUGGCAACCACCAUGCUACUUUCUGUCUCUGAAUUCAAC